UUUUUUUUAAAGAAAUUAAAAAGCAAUAACCAAAAUAUUUUUAGCCCAGUCAAGUUAGCUCAAUAAAUAGGGGUAAGCAGUGUUUGAAUCGCGGACUACAAAAUAGCAUAAGCUAAACUUUUUUGCUUUUCAAAGCAAGCUGCUCUUGGCCAUUUUCAAUACAUUUGCAAUUGCUUAGCUACCACUAAGAAAAAUAAAGCAGCGAAAGCAGACAGCCUUUGCUCUUGCUUACAGCGCAGUUUGUUAUUGCUUAGACAGUCAGCCGAAGCAAACAGUUAAGAAAAAGUGCUGUUGCUGAAAGCAGAUCCUUACUGUCUUCACAUGCUUGAAAUUCUCACUUGACAACAUACUUUUUCAUUUGUAAAAUGUCGGCAAAAAAGAAGUUCGUAUUUUUCACCAAAAUAAACGAUUUUGCUACUCUGAAGAAUUCGGCGAAAUGAGUAAAUACCUGUACAACAAAAAUGAUAGUUGAAAGCAUGCGAGAGCUCGCAAACCGCUCGGUAUGCGAGAAAGAGUAGCUUCGUACUUUUUGCGGUCUACACGUGUGGCAUCUCGCAUGCAUCGUCACGCAAGCGAGAUUUUCCAGGUGCAUACGGGUACCUACCCUAAUGGAAGAAAGUGUUUUUUUUAAAUCAACUAGUUCAAAGACUACUUUGAAACAAAUGCACCAAUACAUACAAAA